rnacentral:rRNA from 1 species
GACGAACGCUGGCGGCGUGCUUAACACAUGCAAGUCGAGCGGUAAGGCCCUUUCGGGGGUACACGAGCGGCGAACGGGUGAGUAACACGUGGGUGACCUGCCCUCAGCUCUGGGAUAAGCCUGGGAAACUGGGUCUAAUACUGGAUAUGACUCCACGGUGCAUGUCGUGGGGUGGAAAGCCUUGUGCGGCUGAGGAUGGGCCCGCGGCCUAUCAGCUUGUUGGUGAGGUCACGGCUCACCAAGGCGACGAUGGCUAGGGGGUGUGAGAGCAUCGGCCCCCACACUGGCACUGAGACACUGGCCAGACACCUACGGGUGGCUGCAGUCGAGAAUCUUCGGCAAUGGGCGCAAGCCUGACCGAGCGACGCCGCGUGCGGGAUGAAGGUC